rnacentral:rRNA from 1 species
GAUGAACGCUAGCGGCAGGCUUAAUACAUGCAAGUCGAACGGUAAGUUUGGUAGCAAUAUCAAACCAAGAGUGACGUACGGGUGCGUAACACGUAUGCAACCUACCUUGUACAGGGGUAUAGCUCGGGGAAACUCGAAUUAACACCCCAUAAUAUGUUUGGUGUGGCAUCACACUAACAUUAAAACUCCGGUGGUACAAGAUGGGCACGCGUCUGAUUAGUUAGUUGGCGGGGUAANGGCCCACCAAGACGAUGAUCAGUAGGGGACCUGAGAGGGUGAUCCCCCACACUGGGACUGAGACACGGCCCAGACUCCUACGGGAGGGCAGCAGUGGGGAAUAUUGGACAAUGGGCGCAAGCCUGAUCCAGCGAUGCCGCGUGUGUGAAGAAGG